AUUGAACGCUGGCGGCAUGCCUUACACAUGCAAGUCGAACGGUAACAGGUUAAGCUGACGAGUGGCGAACGGGUGAGUAAUGUAUCGGAACGUGCCCAGUCGUGGGGGAUAACUGCUCGAAAGAGCAGCUAAUACCGCAUACGACCUGAGGGUGAAAGCGGGGGAUCGCAAGACCUCGCGCGAUUGGAGCGGCCGAUAUCAGAUUAGGUAGUUGGUGAGGUAAAGGCUCACCAAGCCGACGAUCUGUAGCUGGUCUGAGAGGACGACCAGCCACACUGGGACUGAGACACGGCCCAGACUCCUACGGGAGGCAGCAGUGGGGAAUUUUGGACAAUGGGCGCAAGCCUGAUCCAGCCAUGCCGCGUGCGGGAAGACGGCCUUCGGGUUGUAAACCGCUUUUGUCAGGGAAGAAAAGGUUCUGGCUAAUACCUGGGACUCAUGACGGUACCUGAAGAAUAAGCACCGGCUAACUACGUG
rnacentral:rRNA from 1 species